rnacentral:lncRNA from 1 species
AACAUUUUCUUUCAAACAGCAACCAUCAAGAGCUUUGUACAGCAAAUAAGGAGUUAUAAAAAAAAAACUUUUACAGAUGUAGGAAAAAUUUACAAUUUACAAAAUUAACAAAAAAAACAAAAUAGAAACGACAUCAAAUCUUUAAUUCUCAAUAAAAUAGAUCCAUGAGCAAUUAAUUUAGUAUGAGAAAUUUAAUGGUACGCAAUUUUUGGGAGAUUUGUUUGCGAUUUGAGGGGACGUAUGGAAUCGACUUAUGAACAAUAAAUUAUUUACCAGUUCGAUAUGGCUCAGAAUCGAAUCGAUCGGAAAACUCUAGCCGUAAGACGAUAAAUAGAAAGAGGGGAAACGGACGGAAACCAUGGGAAAAAAAGCGAUAAAAAAAAUAAAGACCAUGCCACCAUGGAGAGAAAGACCCCGGGGAUAUAAAAAAAAACUAUCCAACCGUGCGGUCUUCUCUCCCAACCAAAAAAACUGAACUUUAUUAGGGUUUCCGGUGACCUGCCAUGCGAGCGCACCCAACAUGGCAAAGGUCGAGUUUCUAUGACAUAUUGUGAUCACAAAUACACAUUAUUCGACAAUUCAUCAACAGAGAGAAUCGAUCGUUCACCAUCAUUUGCCAAAAAAUCAAAUCGAGAUCGCAGGCAACAUCCUUCUUUUUUCUGGAUCCGAAGGGAAUGCAAAUCCACCAUGACAGCAUAACCGAGAUGACCAAAGACACCUACCUGCACCGGAAGCAAAUCAAAACAAUGAUCACCGCAACCAUAACCGUCGCCCGUCGGUCGGUAAUGACGAAAUCUACAAGAAAGAAAGAUCAAGAACUUCUUAAUCCAACGAGAACGAUUGGUGAGCAAAAACUUUCUAAUCCUUUGUUUAACAAAUGGAUAAAGGAAAACCAUCUCGUUGUUGGAUGGAUUCGAGGCACGAGAAAAGAAGUGCUAGCUAGUUCUUGUCGUCUGGAAGAAGUUAGAGGCUGUCCUUUCUCCAGAGUCCAAGAAACACACGCGAAACAUCAAGGAUCAGCUCCACGCGUUGAAGAAGACCAGCGACGCUUCUAUGACGGAUUACCUUGUGCAAGUUAAAGUAUCGGUGGAUUCGAUCGUUAGCUUUUUUGCUGGUACACGUAUUGAAGAAGAAGCAUUGAUCGAUUAUGUGAUCGAUGGAUUGGGAUCGGAGUUCGGGAACUCUCUACACAAUCUACAUUUCCAGAGAGAGUCCAUUACUUACGACGACAGUUUUUGGGAUACUUGUACAAGAAGAUUAUCUCAUGAAGAAACACAAUAAAUCCAUCUCGAAAUCUGAAAAUACUGCCCUCGUCGCUGCUAAAGGAAGAAGAAAUUGCCGUUGGAAGAAGCGUCGACCAUGCCAAGAUGAGGCAUUCCAGACGGCUGCCUUUCUGCAACUCCAGGGACGCGAGACUACCCGGAGUAUCGACCAUCGACGUUCAAUCGAACACGUCCAGGCUCUAAUUCCCAUCGAGACGAGCACUCUCUAGGAGAUUCCAUGCUUCAAUAAAUAGAAAAUUGCACACAGAUCCAUGCUUCAAUAAAUUCAAACACAAUUUUCUUUUAUGUCCUCCAUUGGAGAAGCUGAGGAUGAAUGGGUGAUCGAUUCAGGUGCAACACACCACUUGACACGAUCAAUUUUUGGAUUUUCUGAGUACGUACACCUAUGGAAAUAUAAUUCUUAUUUGCUACGUUAAAAUAAAAACUAAAAAUGGUAUUCUUACACUGAAAAAUGAGCCGUGUAUGUGAGGCAAACUCAAUUGAAGAUUACAAUAUGAAGUUCUACACAAAAUCUGUUCACAAUGAAAUUAAAUCAUC